CUGUCACUGCAUUUCUUUCCUCAGACCCUGCUCCCCACCUCAGGCUCUCCUGACUUCCUGCCGUACCCACCGCUAAGACAAGAACCUCAGCUAAGCUGUCAGCACAAAUACAGAGCAGUGAAGGUCCUCUGAGAGACCAGGAUCUGUUUUCCCAAAACAGGCUUCACAUUUCCUCUCUCAUAGAAAUGCUUCAAAGAAGACUAAUGUGUUCUACGCUUGGAAAACGUCUGGGAGAUUCUGUUGACCCAAGCCUGAACUUCCCUGUUCUUCCCUUUCUCCCACGUAUCUCUUCCGGUAACCUGAAAGCCUGGGGCAACACAGGAGACAGGAUCUCGCUCUGCAGCCCAAGCUGGCCUGGAAAUAACUGCAGCCCAGGAUGGCCUCAAACUUACAUCAGUCCUCUGGAGAUUCCAGAUGUGGGUCAUGAUGCCAGCUGCAUACCUACAUUUGAGACAGAAAGUAAUAAACAAAAACAGGAGAAUUCAAGAACAAGAAGGUGUUUCUUCUUUCAUAUUUAAAAAAAAAAGUACAUGCAGAAGAACGAACAUGACAGCACUGUGUUGAAAAGAAGCAAUCUAGCUGCCCAUCCCUGUGGAAGACGGUAAAUAAAAGUGGUCCGUGAAACAGCUAGAGCAGAUCUGAUGCACACUUGGCAACACGGAUGGUUACCAAAAGUGUAGAGUUGAGCGGGGCCGUACAAUGGUGUCUAAAGCAGAAUGCAUCCACAAAACUCAAAAGCACGUGCCCGUAAAAAAAACACCACCCAUUCUGCAAGAGCAUAUGCAAGCCAAAUGAUACUCAUCAAACAGUUCAGACUGGCUAUUUCAGAGAGGAAGGGAAGAAGCAUGGGGUGAUGAAAACAAAGCCAGGAGUCUUUCAAGGCUAACCCAAUGGCUGGUCUCCUUCUCAAGCCCAUGGGAGGGUUGUAAUUCUCUGACCUCCUCUACCCUGUGGUUGGGAUACGACGUGGAAUUUCAGCUGUGAGUGGAAGUCGCAUGUGCUCAUUGCAGACCCAGAGCAUUUAAUUUGUGGCAGGAGGGCAUCCAAGGAUUUGGUGUACUGCUGCUGACAGUCAGAAAGCUAAGAAUUAAGGAGAAACUUCCACCAACUUGUAUUCCUGAGUGGCUAUAAAGGGCCCUCCCCCAGCCUCCCUCCUGCUAAUCUGUAUCAACACAUGGCAUUUUGGAGACGAAUAAAGUCUUCUUUUAAUAUCCUGGGAUUUGCAACUGUUGGUUGCUACAAAACAACACUAACAUACUCUGAUUUUUUUUUUCAAGACAGGGUUUCUCUGUGUAGCCUGGGGUGUCCUGGACUUGCAUGGUAGACCAGACUAGCCUCAAACUCACAGAGAUCCACCUGCCUCUUCCUCCCCAGUGAUGGGAUUACAGGCGUACGCUACUGUG